CACCUCCACCUCCACCUCAGGGAGCCUGUGGGCCACUCCCCUCCGUGAACAUUUCCAUGUUACGCUGAAAGCUGAAAUCCAGAAGCCAUUCCGAUUCUGGCGGUCCCUCAGAGCGAAGCCCAGCCUGUGCCCAACUUGCUCUGCCAAAUCUUAGACCCGCUCCCUCUGGCCUCCUUCCUACUUUGCCCCUCUUUUAAUCCAGGUUCUCAGUUUCCCUGGGGAAGGAACUGAGGCAGCAGGAAAGGACCUAGGAGCCCCAGGUGCUCCCUCAGAGACCCCGCACCUACCCGGAAGCGGCCAUCCCACGUGGCCCCUGGCUGCUCCUCCGACCCAUCUUUUAUUCAUGGACAAGCAGCGUUCUCUGCUUUACCAGGACACGACCAUCAAUAUUUCAUCCUCGCCUCGCCUGCCAGCCUCCUGCUCCCCCCUUCCUGCCUCCCACCCGCUCUAAGACCCUGGGCGGGGGCAAGCGGGCCUAGCCCAGGGCGUCCUCACAGAUGCCCCUCAGCCUGCUCUCCGUGCCAUCGUUGGCAGAGCCAGCGUCCGAGCCAGAAGGCUUUCUGAGCGGUUGGAUGAAGGAAGUGAUGCCAGAGUUCAGGAGCACACCUUCCCUUCGCCAGCACCCAGCCCAUCUCACCUGUCUGCUUCGGGGCUCUCCAGCCUUCCGUGUGGCUGCUCAGGACCACAGGGGCUGAACCUCAGAUCUGGAGGGGCCCUUACCUGUAUCCUUGCCUGGGGUCCAUGGAGACCCUCUCUCAGGGGGUGUGAACCCUUGAAAUCACUAAAGCCAUGAAUGGGGUUCGGGAGCCCUGAGUGGCCACCUUGGAUUUGGAGGUCCGCCCAGGUGUGCGGAGAAGAAGCUGAGGACGAGACAGGGGUGUGGGUGCGAGAUGGGGAGCGGGUGCAGGAGCCCCUGUCCUUGGUGUCCUUGACUGAGUCUUGACUGCAUUCCUGCUCUGUACCACACUCCUGUGUCCCUUUUGUAAACUUCCCCUUUUAUUCAAAUGCUGGCCCAAGUGGAUUCUGUAACUUGCAGUCCCCGAGUCCCAGCCACACCUGUAACUGGGACAAACACAAGAGUGCCGUCGGGGCCGUAGAGGACCCAGGUGGCCCGGUGCAGGGACCCACUGGAGGAACUAAAUCCCUGGGAAGACAUGAGCGUCAUGGAGCAUCGACCUUUUUCAACGUAUUGGGGGUGGGGAGCCUGGGAGCUCUGCAUGGGGCCAGGCUAGCAAAGGGGACCCCCUUUGGAAUUCGGUUUGCUCCUUACAAUCAACAUCUACUGGUCGGGGAAUGGGCCUCUUAUUUCCUUCUAGGGGUCCAUCUCCUGGCCAGCCCCCUGCCCACCACUCCUGCCGCAUGGGUUGUUGGGGAGAGGGGUAUAAUGCACAGACUAGGAGUUUGAGGCCCAGCUCAGCCACGGAAGAGCUCUGUCACUUAGAUGAGUGACUUCACCUCCCUGGUCUUGUUUUCCUCCCUCAACAUGGUAACCACGACCCCUUUGUACUUUGCAGGUUCCUCCAAGCGAUCCCCUCCCUUCCCCGUCCUUCCUCCUCCACCCCUGUCUUCUCCUGCUCAGCACUUGCCUUCCCCUCCUGACUCCACCCAGUGCAGCACCUUCACCCCCUCUUCCUGGGUUCAGGGCCAUCGUGUGCCAUCACUUAUGUCCAGGGCUUGAGUCUUUCGUUUAGUUGAGAUGCUUGUUCAGUCUGCCCCAUUAGACACAGGGACUCCCUGAAGGUGGGAUCCUGUCACCUCCCUCUCUCUAGACCCUCCUCCUGCGUGUAGAGGGCAGAGCCCAGAGAGGGAGCCUGGGGGCAGCCUGCCCAGCCAGACCUGUCCACCUGCUCUUUCCUUUCCUUCCCUGGCAGAGAGGACGUUCGAGAAUCUACUUUCUAAACUAAGCCAGAGUUGCAGUGUCCCCUAGUCUCUCCUGAAGGGCAGCCCCUUGAGGAGAGAUUCUUCCCCAUGAGCCCACCCUUCUCACUCCCCGUACCCUUCUCUGGGCAGGGGAGUGGGAGGUGGGUGGUGCGCAUCACCUGACCCAGCCUGGGUGACCCCCUUGCAGCUGGCUCUCUCCUUCCUCUCCCACUGCCUGGCACGGACCGGACCGGGAGUGCCUUUCUCCCUCCCAUCGCUGUCAUCCGUAGUACCCGCCCCCCUCGCCUCUUGCAGCUUUUCUGUUCCCAUCCUGGCUUGUCUCCCCCCAAGGCAGCUGGGAGCAGGGCGCCUUCGAUUUCUCUAUUCAGUCUGAGGCGUAGCAAUUUUCUGCUCUCCCGUAAUUAGGGGAAUUUUAAGCAAACUCCCCGACGGAUGAUUACAGCAGGUUCAAUCCCAGCUCCUUUGAUCAGGGAAGAAUGAAGACGUUGUUGGAAUAUUCCUCGACCUGCCGGCCAGACAGGCUGGGAGGCAGCAGUCUGGCUCUCGGGCUCCCCCUGGAGGGCUCUGGACUUUCAUCCUGGAGUCUGAGUGUCCCUGGGCACUGGAGGGUCCCCAGGGAGAGGACUGGGUUCAAAUCCUGCUUUGUUAAGUAUUAUCCGAGAUGUGGCUUCUCUGGCUUUGGGCUAACAUCUGGGCUCAAAGUAGGGUUGGGGCUGGAGACUUAAGUGCAAAAGCAAAUUAGAGUCACCUGGAUUGUGAUCUCCAAGGACUGGUGUGAAUGGCUGUGCAGGCACUGUGUUCCCUAGGAGAUGUCAUUCCGGAGGUGGCCCAAGUGAGCGGGAUUCCUAGGGUUGUGCAGUGUCCAACCUGCACAACACACUUGGUAGCUGGAACCUGCCUGUAGGAAGUUUGAAUGACUCUAUUUUUUGACAAUAUCAGAAGAAAUGAUCCUCCUUAGAGUUGAAAGGGCUUCUUUUCUUUAUUUCGUCUAUUUCCCCAACUCUUUCGUGCCUGCCAAAGGCAGUGAGGAAUAACGGGAAGAACGUGGACUUUGGAGCAGCCUGACUAGAGACUGAAUUCUAGCUUGGCUAUUUCCUGGCUGUGUGACUUUGGGUUUGUUAAUGAACCUCUCUAAGCUUUAAUUCCUGUCUUAAAGGAUUAUGUUGAGGAUCCAAUAAGAAAUGGAUUACAACACUGCUUGGCUUAUAAUUGGUGCUCGGCAAAUAUGAUUCCCUUUUUCCUUUCCCUGCCCACCUCAUAUAUUUGGAAAAUCAUCACCCUGCAGGGCAAGCCCCCUUCUCCUCUGUCUGUGCCCUCCCAGGCCUGUGGACCCCCAAAGCUAUGCCAGAGAGAGGACUGGGUGGUUUCAUAGACUAUUAAUGUCUCUGGCAUUCCUGACCAGGGAAUGGUUAAUUCCAUAGGUUAAUUCGGCCAUAUUUCAGCAUAAUUAUGGUGGUAUAUUCCUACACUAAUUAAGUGGCUUUAAACCAUCUCCUCCACGCAGCUCCGUGAAUCGUAAUUAAGCCUUACCGCCAAGUGCCCCUGCCAGCCACGGAGCCCCGCACACAGCCCGCUCCGCCCGCUCUCAGUCUCAGGAGAGGAUGCGCUGGAACCGUGGCUUUGAAAAGAACUUAUUUUCCUGGGAUCAUGUCAGGAUGAUUCCCAGUGCAUAUUGGAUGAGGCUUUGUAUGGUUCCUCUUUUUUUUCCUUUUUUUUUUCACAAGGAAAGAGAUGAAGAGAAACACAGUGUUGAUACGGGUUUAUCUUCGUCUCCUGGCUGUUCUGUUGAGUAGAUUUGAAUAGAUUCCCAGGGGAUGCAGGUGGGGGUGUGAGAGGGGAUGGUGGCGAGCUCGGUGCACGGGUGCGUGUGCCAGGCUGCUGGGAGUGAGCGCGAGGCUGUGUGUCACAGCUGUUGUUCACUGAGACCGAGCUAACAUCAGCUCAGUCCACAGCUACCUGUGAAGGAAGACGGCCGCACCAGGAGACACCUGUUUGAGCUGGUGGGUGGACCUCCUGGCUCCUGACUGCUCUGUUCUCGAUGUGCCUUGGAAGGUGAGCAGGGCCCAUCCUUUUGGCCACUGUCAGGGUUAACUCGAGUCAUGGUGGGGGUGGGAUUGCCACUGUUGUCAGAAGAUUCAGUUUUGCAUCUUGUUUCCACCGCUUGCUGACUGUGACCUUGAGAAAGUCCUCUGGUUUCCUGAGCCUCAGUUUCCUUAUCUGGAAAAUGAGAAGAAGACCAGCUCUCUCAUAGGACUGCUCAGAAAUGGAAUAAGAUGAUAGGGUGGUGCCAAGGACCCGUCAUUGAAGGUAGCAAUUGCAAGCUGAUUUUCCGGCUGUGGAGCAGGGCUGCCUGGACAGAGCCACAUCUUUCUGGGGUUCUGAGGCUCUGAGGUUCUUAUUUGCCAGAUGGCUCUUGAGCCUCUGGUCUGCCUGUGUUCACAGAGGCCAUGGAGGAUCCAGGACCUCAGGUGCAGUGGCACAAGUGUUCACCAGGGGAGCCACCAGAACUUGAGUUUUCUCCUGCGUGACCGGUGUUGCAUCAGCUUCUAUUACGGGAGCUUGGCGAGGCCUCUGUGGGUCAUGGCAGCAAGUGGAGUUGGACACAAGAUGCAUGGAAAUGUUUAUACUCUGGAAACCUCGAUCUUUGAAACGCUUGGCCUCUCGUUCUCCUCUGCCUGCCUCCCUGACCUCAUACCGCGCCAUCUCCCCACCCUGCUUCCUGUGGUCCAGCCUCCCCCACCCCAGCUGCCUUUCAGGGGCCAGCCGCUCAGGCAGCAAAAGGCAAAGGGAGCACUUGUCCUCUCUCUGUCUCUCGCUGUGGAGUGAUGGCCCUAGGCAUUUUGAGUAAGACACUAAUCAAAUAAAGACAGGUGACAAUACGGCAGCAUCUUCUGUGAAGGCCAGAGAGACACUUGACUGUCCUCAGCAAGAGGAUGGGGAACUGGGGGGAUGGGAAGGAUGCAGUAUUUUUUUAACCUGGUGUCACACACACAGCCCCGGGCUCCUCUGACAAGAGAACACCCUAUGAAGAUGCAGAUAAGCUGAACUGGAAAACUGAUUAGCAAGAAAGGAGGCCCUGGCUCUCUGCUCGCUGCAGAGGGAGUGAGAGUGGAGUGAGGCUUCCCCCAAACAUGAUGCAUGGGUAGAGGGGAUGUGCU